UCAAAAAACUGGUUUGCUUUAGCAAAAAUCCUUAAUAUUUUUUUGUCAUAUCUAAAUGGCCCUAUCUAAAUAGUAAGCCGUGGCAUUGCAGCCCUUGCUUAGAGGUGCCUUCUUUUAAAGUCAGGAUCGCGUUCACCAUCUUUUCAGAAAUUAGUGUUGCAGAUUAACUCGAUGUCUGGAUCAAUGUAAAUUAUGUUGUAAGAAGAGGACGAUGCUAGUGUUGGAACAUCAGCCCAGGUGGGGGUGCGGAUGGAGCGAGGUGGAGGAUCAGGAUCAGAGGCAAGGGAUCUGGCCAGAAAACAUGGCCUGAGCAGGGGCUUGUGCGGAUAGCUUGAGAUUGCCGAAUACCUUGCUAAGUGCGGGAUUCGGUAUGAGGUGAUUCUCAGAAGGACGAAACAGCUAUGGCGAGUGGUUCAGGGAAUCCACCAGUUGAUCCUUCAGUAACGAGUGAGUGUGGGGAGAAGUUCCCUCCGCCAGUCGGUCUAAACCAUGAUGAGCCGUCAAUUAGGGAUGUUUUGUGGUUCUACGACAACAUGAUGGGCUGUUCGGACGGGAAGCUGCCGAAAUAAGGCGUCUAUCUUGUAAGUCUAAUCGCAAGGAACUUAUUGAUAUUUGUACUUAUGAGCUGUUUUGUGAUUUUUUCAUCAGAAAUUGGGUUAGCCACUUCAAUCCAAUUGCGGUGGUGUUGUCAGGACCAGGACCUUAAGGAUGAGCUUGGGCCUAGAGGUGAGAUUACAGUGGAUGGCUGCAGGGGCAUCCAUCAAAUGUUAACUGCGAAAGAGUUGAUGAUAUAUACCAUGGAUGGCUAGCAAGAUGGAGAGAGAUUUUGGAUCCCUGCUUUGUG
rnacentral:lncRNA from 1 species